GAUGAACGCUGGCGGCGUGCCUAAUACAUGCAAGUCGAGCGAGAAGUUUUGAAAAGAUUCUUCGGAUGAAGUUUCAAAUGGGUAGCUGCGGCGUGGUGAGUCUCGCGUAGACAACCUGCUCCCUACAAAAAGAUAGCAUUAAGACACCAUAAUUAAUACCUUAUGAAACUUAUCUAGUUCAUGCUACAUAGGUCAAAGUUUUAUCGGUAUGUGAUGGGCCUGCGUCUGAUUAGCUAGUUGGUGAGGUAACGGCACACCAAGGCGACGAUCAGUAGCCGACCUGAGAGAAGGAACGGACACAUUGGACGUGAGACGCAGUCCGAAGUCCUACGGAAUGGAGCAGUGGGGAAUAUUGCACAAAGGGGGGAAGCCUGAUGCAGCAACGCCGCGUGAACGAGGAAGGCCUUUGGGUCGUAGAGUUAUGUUCUAGGUGAUGAAAACUGACAGUAACAGAGGAGAAAGCCACGGCUAACUCCGUG
rnacentral:rRNA from 1 species